AUGCCCUGCUUCUCUAAUAAGAAAAACAAAUACAACAAGCGUUAUGAAAGCGGCAACAAGGGAGAGCCUCAGUCCUGGCCCUGAGUGGCCUCCAGUGGGGAGUGGGGAUCUGAUCACAGCGCUGGCCCACCAGCACCUGUGGGGAAUUGGUCUAGCCCUGUGGCCACCCGCCGGCGCCAGGAGGCCUGCCCCUCCUGAGCCCAACCGGCCCUGGGCCCUUGCUCUCUCCCCUUCAUUAAAAUGAUCAGAGCCUCCACUCUGUACCAGCACCCCAGGACAGGACCGUGCCCUCCGGAGAGAACCCCGAGGAACCCGGAGCGGAGCGGGAACAGACGCCGGUGUUGGGGAAGUUGCCUGGGUCGGCUCGGCCCUCUUUUGGCCGCAGGUGUGCGUCUAAGGUCCACAGAGAGGUUUCCUCGCCCGCGUCUCUAAUGCCCAAGAGGCUCCUAAGCAGCUCUGACAGCGAGCAGCCAGGUUGGCUGCGGUGGUCGGAGCUACGGCCCGGCCCACACCGCGGGGACCACGUGCAUCCAGCGAGCCCGGGAUGGGGCCGGGCACAGCCGGCCAGAAUGCGGCGAUGCACGCCGCCGGCCAGGUCCCCCAUUCGCCCAGGAGGGAGGCGGAGCCCAGCGGAGCCCUGGGCGGCCAUUCCGCUGCGGGUCCUGCAUGUACCACAGAAAUACCCUACAGACAGGUGGCCCGUUACUUCUGAAUCCCAACUAGUCCCGCCCAGCACGGAGCUUCAAAGCUGGAGACCUCCCCCUCAGGAGAACACACUGCUAAGAGGCCAGCACAUCUCAGCUCCAAACACAUGCAGCAGAACAACCUGACAGACAGUAGGAAUACACAUCCGAAGUCACCCAAAUUAAAGACAUCCCCAAGACCUCACAAAUACACCCAGCUCCAGACCAUAACCUGACUCUCUCUUGAGAGUCUGCAUGCUAUUCAAUCUGAGUAUGUACUUUUAAACUUCUGCCUAAUAAAUUUCUUUAUGC
ensembl:lincRNA